AAAGGCUAGAGCGUGACAGGUAAGCGAAAUCUAAGGAAAGUAGCGAAGCACAUGAUGACGGCUUCCAGGAAAAGCUUCUGGCAAUGCAUAUGCGGCCCGUACCAAAACCGACACAGGUGGGCAGGGAGAGAAUCCCGAGGUGAGCGAGAGAACUGUUGCCAAGGAACUCGGCAAAAUGACUCCGUAAGUUAGCGAGAAGGAGUGCUUAAGCAAUUAAGCCGCAGUGAAGAGGCCCAAGCGACUGUUUAACUAAAACACAGCUCUCUGCGAAGUCGCAAGACGAAGUAUAGGGGGUGACACCUGCCCGGUGCUGGAAGGUUAAGAGGAUCUGUUAAGAGCGAUCUGAAGCAGUGAUCCGAAGCCCCAGUGAACGGCGGCCGUAACGAUAACGGUCCUAAGGUAGCGAAAUUCCUUGUCAGGUAAGGUCUGACCCGCACGAAAGGUGUAACGAUUUGGGCGCUGUCUCGGCAGCAGACUCGGUGAAAUCUUAGUACCUGUGAAAAUGCAGGUUACCCGCAACUAGACGGAAAGACCCCAUGGAGCUUUACUGCAGCCUGAUAUUGAAUUCUGGUCAUACAUGUACAGGAUAGGUGGGAGACAAAGAGACGUGCACGCCAGUGUACGAGGAGUCGACGUUGGGAUACCACUCUUGUGUGACCGGGGUUCUAACCUGGUAUCGAGAACAGGUACGGGGAGAGUGUCAGGUGGGCAGUUUGACUGGGGCGGUCGCCUCCCAAAGAGUAACGGAGGCGCCCAAAGGUACGCUCAGAUUGGAUGGAAACCAAUCGACGAGUGCAAUUGCAGAAGCGUGCUUGACUGUGAGACAAACAAGUCGAACAGGGACGAAAGUCGGGAAUAGUGAUCCGGCGGUGCCGAAUGGAAGGGCCGUCGCUCAACGGAUAAAAGCUACCCUGGGGAUAACAGGCUGGUCUCGCCCAAGAGUUCACAUCGACGGCGAGGUUUGGCACCUCGAUGUCGGCUCAUCGCAUCCUGGAGCUGGAUUCGGUUCCAAGGGUUGGGCUGUCCGCCCAUUAAAGCGGUACGCGAGCUGGGUUCAGAACGUCGUGAGACAGUUCGGUCCCUAUCUGUUGUGGGCGAAGGAGAUCUGCGGAGAGCUGUCCUCAGUACGAGAGGACCGGGAUGGACCUACCGCUGGUGCACCGGUUGUUCCGCCAGGGGCAUAGCCGGGUAGCUAAGUAGGGAAAGGAUAAGCGCUGAAAGCAUCUAAGCACGAAGCCUACUCCAAGAUGAGAUCUCCCAUUCGCAAGAAGUAAGACCCCUUAAAGACGAUAAGGUAGAUAGGCCAGGGAUGGAAGUGCAGUGAUGUACGGAGUUGACUGGUACUAAUCGGUCGAGGACUUAAUC
rnacentral:rRNA from 1 species